CAGAAGUCCAGCUCAAUAGCAGACCAAGGC
rnacentral:piRNA from 1 species